CAUCGCUGCCAUCAUCAUCAUCAUCGGCUUCGUGGGAGUCGGUGUCUGGAAGCUCCGAUCCGGGAAGAGGAAGGGGAAUGGAUACGACCCCGCGCCCACCACAGGAAUCACGGCCUGAGCGAUCCUGGAGCUGGAUCCGCCCCUUCCCUCUCCCUGUGGAAAGGCAGGAACUGCUGGCAGAGCUCAUCCCGC